AGUAGCAAUACAAGGGAAGACCUAGUGGCGAACGGGUGAGUAUCACGUGAGAAACCAACCCCGGUCUCUGGGAUAACAGUUGGAAACGACUGCUAAUACUGGAUGUCGUCGUACCCUCGCAUGGGGGGAUGACGAAAGGGUUACCGGAUCGGGACGGUCUCGCGGCCUAUCAGCUUGUUGGGGAGGUAACGGCUCACCAAGGCUUCGACGGGUAGCUGGUCUGAGAGGAUGAUCAGCCACACUGGGACUGAGACACGGCCCAGACUCCUACGGGAGGCAGCAGUGGGGAAUCUUGCGCAAUGGGCGAAAGCCUGACGCAGCAACGCCGCGUGCGGGAUGAAGGCCUUCGGGUUGUAAACCGCUUUUAACAGGAACGAAAAUGACGGUACCUGUAGAAUAAGGUGCGGCCAACUACGUGCCAGCAGCCGCGGUGACACGUAGGCACCAAGCGUUGUCCGGAUUUAUUGGGCGUAAAGAGCUCGUAGGCGGUUCAGUAAGUCGGGUGUGAAAACUCUGGGCUUAACCCAGAGACGCCACUCGAUACUACUGUGACUAGAGUUCGGUAGGGGAGCGGGGAAUUCCUAGUGUAGCGGUGAAAUGCGCAGAUAUUAGGAGGAACACCGGUGGCGAAGGCGCCACUCUGGGCCGAUACUGACGCUGAGGAGCGAAAGCGUGGGUAGCAAACAGGAUUAGAUACCCU
rnacentral:rRNA from 1 species